CAUGGAAUGUCUACAAGGGCAGGAAGAGAUCUCAUUUCAGGGUGUACCACUCUCAGGAGAUGUCACAGGAAUGCAGCAGAGGCUACAGAGAAACAUCACCUCUGUCAUCACCACCACUGUGGAAGCCAUUAACACCAGAUUCGGCAGUCUCAUCAAUGAGGACUCAAGACUACUCUGCAGUGAAUUGCAUGAAAAUCUUUCAUCACGACACCUGGCCUGAGAAUACCAAUGAACUGGUUGAUUAUGGAAACGAUCAGUUGGAGGCCCUAAUGGAGCAUUUUCGUCAUGUCCUUACAAGCUCUGGAUGUCAGAUGGAUGCUUUGCCAGGGGAAUGGCAGAGUUUGAAGACCCUUUUAAAUUACUCUUACAGAACAUCCUACACCUUGUGGACAUACUGUUGGUCCUCCCAAUUUCUUCUGCACAGUGUGAGCGGGGCUUCUCUGCGCAGAAACGCCUCAAAAGCUCUUUGAGGAGCUGCUUGCAUGUCUCCACCACAGAGGAUCUUAUCAGGAUCACUACAGAGGGCCCCUCACUUGAAUUAUUUGAUCCCACUAAAUGUGCCGAAAACUGUCUGUCAGCUGGAAAAAGGUCACGUCGAC
ensembl:lncRNA